UUUUGUGGUGGAAUAUUGACUUUUUAUUGUAGCCUCGCCUUGUGUCGCUAAAUUUUAAUGGUUAAUACACGUUUGCGUUAAUCUGCGUUAUCAGCAAGUGGUUUUAGGAAAUAAAAGGUAGGUAUCAAUAGUUAGAAAAAGUUAUUACAGCAUUGGGUAGCCGCCGCUUACGAAGGUGCAGCAACAAUGGCAGCUGCCAAUAAAUUAGAAAGAGAGAGAGAGAAAAAAAAAGAGAUGCCGAAGCGUUUAUACCUCAUGUAUCAAAUGAACCAGUUUACAACCGCGCAUAAAAACUGCUAUUGCCUGCAAUUCACAAAUUCCUUUGCACAGUGUUUGGCAUAAGGCGAUGGCAAGAACUGUUCCAGCGCUGUUGUUAUGUGAUUACUUUCAUAUAUUUAUUGUUGAAGGUUAGUGUACUCUGCCAACGUCAUGUGCGUACAUCGCAAUAUAAUAGUAAUUUGUAAAUUGAUGCAUUAAUAUUUCGCUUGACAAGGUGCUGCUGAAAGAAUAAAAAAAAUCUAAAUUUGUCUUAAACUCUUUCUUGAUGUUAACCAUUGUAAGCUAGAAAUAGUGAGUGAUCUUGCUCGUUCCAAAACUAAGUCCUUUCUUCUUGACUCUGUGAUACUAGUGCACUGAGCAUUCCUGGGGCAGCGGAUGUGAGGGCCCCCGAAGGCCUCUCUAACAUCACUCAGCAUUAAUACUUCGUGUCUUGUGUGACCCGAAAAUGCUGUAUCACGCUGCGUCAAGGCGAUAUAUAAAGCAGAUCAUAGUAUAGUAUUAUUUCAACUUUGCUUUUCAAAUAAAUAAUUAGGGUAGUUUAUGAAGGAAAAUAAAAUAAGUUCACCUUUAUUUUUUUGCUGUAUGAUUUUUUUUUCUUAUUGCCUAUUGAAAAUUCUGGGAUUUCAGUAAUUGUUCAUAUAAGGCGUUCAGUUCGUAUGCGGACCAUCUAGAUAAAAACUUGCCCUGGUGUCCAUCCCUUUAAAAGUCGCGUGAUUAUGGGGGAGACUCGGGGAGGUAUUGCUUGAGUUGGCCUUGUGCCGCGGGUUAGAGAGUCCGUACUCCCCAGACUCAAAGCCGCGGUGACAGGCGAGCGCCCAGGCAGAGACCAGCCAAGCGAUCGUUCUGCUUCCUGAGUCUGGGUGAGUAUUUUGAGUUUCUUAGUGUUACAGUGCAAACUUUAAAGAGUAGAGCUCCACGAGGUGUGAAAUUUUGACUGAUAGAGUACAGUGAUUGACCACGUAAGGAAUAUUUCAUCGAGAGAGAGAGAGAGAGAGAGAGAGAGAGAGAGAGAGAGAGAGAGAGAGAGAGAGAGAGAGAGAGAGAGAGAGAGAGAGAGAGAGAGAGAGAGAA